UACGUAGGGGGCAAGCGUUUGUCCGGAUUUAUUGGGCGUAAAGAGCGUGUAGGCGGUUUGGUAGGUCCGUUGUGAAAACUCGAGGCUCAACCUCGAGACGCCGAUGGAAACCAUCAGACUAGAGUCCGGAAGAGGAGAGUGGAAUUCCUGGUGUAGCGGUGAAAUGCGCAGAUAUCAGGAAGAACACCCGUGGCGUAAGGCGGCUCGCUGGGACGUAACUGACGCUGAGACGCGAAGCGUGGGGAGCAAACAGG
rnacentral:rRNA from 1 species